rnacentral:ncRNA from 1 species
UUGAAGAACCGGCAAACCAGCCGAAAGGCUGCGACGCGAAGCUAUAGGGCCUGUAAGAUGGCAGCCAGUUGUAUUU